AGAGUUUGAUCCUGGCUCAGGAUGAACGCUGGCGGCGUGCCUAAUACAUGCAAGUCGAGCGAACGGACGAGAAGCUUGCUUCUCUGAUGUUAGCGGCGGACGGGUGAGUAACACGUGGAUAACCUACCUAUAAGACUGGGAUAACUUCGGGAAACCGGAGCUAAUACCGGAUAAUGUUUUGAACCGCAUGGUUCAAAAGUGAAAGACGGUCUUGCUGUCACUUAUAGAUGGAUCCGCGCUGCAUUAGCUAGUUGGUAAGGUAACGGCUUACCAAGGCAACGAUGCAUAGCCGACCUGAGAGGGUGAUCGGCCACACUGGAACUGAGACACGGUCCAGACUCCUACGGGAGGCAGCAGUAGGGAAUCUUCCGCAAUGGGCGAAAGCCUGACGGAGCAACGCCGCGUGAGUGAUGAAGGUCUUCGGAUCGUAAAACUCUGUUAUUAGGGAAGAACAUAUGUGUAAGUAACUGUGCACAUCUUGACGGUACCUAAUCAGAAAGCCACGGCUAACUACGUGCCAGCAGCCGCGGUAAUACGUAGGUGGCAAGCGUUAUCCGGAAUUAUUGGGCGUAAAGCGCGCGUAGGCGGUUUUUUAAGUCUGAUGUGAAAGCCCACGGCUCAACCGUGGAGGGUCAUUGGAAACUGGAAAACUUGAGUGCAGAAGAGGAAAGUGGAAUUCCAUGUGUAGCGGUGAAAUGCGCAGAGAUAUGGAGGAACACCAGUGGCGAAGGCGACUUUCUGGUCUGUAACUGACGCUGAUGUGCGAAAGCGUGGGGAUCAAACAGGAUUAGAUACCCUGGUAGUCCACGCCGUAAACGAUGAGUGCUAAGUGUUAGGGGGUUUCCGCCCCUUAGUGCUGCAGCUAACGCAUUAAGCACUCCGCCUGGGGAGUACGACCGCAAGGUUGAAACUCAAAGGAAUUGACGGGGACCCGCACAAGCGGUGGAGCAUGUGGUUUAAUUCGAAGCAACGCGAAGAACCUUACCAAAUCUUGACAUCCUUUGACAACUCUAGAGAUAGAGCCUUCCCCUUCGGGGGACAAAGUGACAGGUGGUGCAUGGUUGUCGUCAGCUCGUGUCGUGAGAUGUUGGGUUAAGUCCCGCAACGAGCGCAACCCUUAAGCUUAGUUGCCAUCAUUAAGUUGGGCACUCUAAGUUGACUGCCGGUGACAAACCGGAGGAAGGUGGGGAUGACGUCAAAUCAUCAUGCCCCUUAUGAUUUGGGCUACACACGUGCUACAAUGGACAAUACAAAGGGCAGCGAAACCGCGAGGUCAAGCAAAUCCCAUAAAGUUGUUCUCAGUUCGGAUUGUAGUCUGCAACUCGACUACAUGAAGCUGGAAUCGCUAGUAAUCGUAGAUCAGCAUGCUACGGUGAAUACGUUCCCGGGUCUUGUACACACCGCCCGUCACACCACGAGAGUUUGUAACACCCGAAGCCGGUGGAGUAACCUUUUAGGAGCUAGCCGUCGAAGGUGGGACAAAUGAUUGGGGUGAAGUCGUAACAAGGUAGCCGUAUCGGAAGGUGCGGCUGGAUCACCU
rnacentral:rRNA from 1 species